rfam:Picea glauca, whole genome shotgun sequence.
AUUCCCAUUUCUCUACAUGUAAAAGUGAAGAAAUUUAACUAAGCGCGGGUAAAUGGUGGGAGUAACUAUGACUCUCUUAAGGUAUCCAAAUGCCUCGUCAUAUAAUUAGUGGCAUGCAUGAAUGGAUCAUUAACUAGAUUCCCCACUUUCCUUAGCUACUAUAUUCUAGAUAACCCACAUCCAAGGGAAUGGGCUUGGCAGAAUUAGUGGGGAAAGAAGACAUUGUUGAGCUUGAAUCUAGUCUUAACCCAUUCAUAGUUUGGGAAAAUUAAGGCAUAGU